rnacentral:rRNA from 1 species
CCCUUAGAUGUUCUGGGCCGCACACGCGCUACACUGAAGGAGGCAGCGUGUACUCCUGGAUCGAAAGAUUUGGGUAACCCGCGAAUCUCCUUCGUGCUAGGGAUUGAGGUCUGCAAUUAUCCUUCAUGAACGAGGAAUUCCCAGUAAGUGCAAGUCAUAAGCUUGCGCUGACUACGUCCCUGCCCUUUGUACACACCGCCCGUCGCUACUACCGAUUGAAUGAUUUAGUGAGGACUUCGGACUGGGACCGAUGCGGCUUUCGGGCUGCGUCGGUAUUCUGGAAAGAUGUCCAAACUGUAUCAUUUAGAGGAAGUAAAANUCGUANCA